GUGGGGGUUGUCGUAUGGCAAGACACUGGUUUUUGCAAGACCAGCUUAGGGGGUUCAAUUCCCCUCCCCCACU
rnacentral:tRNA from 1 species